CACGUAGGGACCAAGCGUUGUCCGGAUUCAUUGGGCGUAAAGGGCUCGUAGGCGGCCAACUAAGUCGGACGUGAAAUCCCUCAGCUUAACUGGGGAACUGCGUCCGAUACUGGAUGGCUUGGAUUCGGGAGAGGGAUGCGGAAUUCCAGGUGUAGCGGUGAAAUGCGUAGAUAUCUGGAGGAACACCGGUGGCGAAGGCGGCAUCCUGGACCGAUAUUGACGCUGAGGAGCAAAAGCCAGGGGAGCAAACGGG
rnacentral:rRNA from 1 species